rnacentral:rRNA from 1 species
UACCAGCACCCCGAGUGGUCGGGACGUUUUAUUGGGCCUAAAGCAUCCGUAGCCGGUUCUACAAGUCUUCCGUUAAACUCCACCUGCUUAACAGAGUGGGCUGCGGAAGAUACUAUAGAGCUAGGAGGCGGGAGAGGCAAAGCGGUGAGCUCGAGUGGGAGUAGGGGUAAAAUCCGUUGAUCCGAAUUCGAAGACCACCAGUGGCGAAGGCGG